UGCGUAGGCGGGAUUUUAAGUCAGUGGUGAAAGUUUUCGGCUCAACCGAAAAAUUGCCAUUGAAACUGAAGUUCUUGAGUACAAAUGAGGUAGGCGGAAUGUGUUGUGUAGCGGUGAAAUGCAUAGAUAUAACACAGAACACCAAUUGCGAAGGCAGCUUACUGGGAUGUAACUGACGCUGAGGCACGAAAGCGUGGGGAUCAAACAGGAUUAGAUACCCUGGUAGUCC
rnacentral:rRNA from 1 species